GACGAACGCUGGCGGCGUGCCUAAUACAUGCAAGUAGAACGCACAGUUUAUACCGUAGCUUGCUACACCAUAGACUGUGAGUUGCGAACGGGUGAGUAACGCGUAGGUAACCUGCCUGGUAGCGGGGGAUAACUAUUGGAAACGAUAGCUAAUACCGCAUAAUAUUAAUUAUUGCAUGAUAAUUAAUUGAAAGUUGCAAUUGCACCACUACCAGAUGGACCUGCGUUGUAUUAGCUAGUAGGUGAGGUAACGGCUCACCUAGGCGACGAUACAUAGCCGACCUGAGAGGGUGAUCGGACAAACUGGGACUGAGACACGGCCCAGACUCCUACGGGGGGCAGCAGUAGGGAAUCUUCGGCAAUGGACGAAAGUCUGACCGAGCAACGCCGCGUGAGUGAAGAAGGUUUUCGGAUCGUAAAGCUCUGUUGUAAGAGAAGAACGGGUGUGAGAGUGGAAAGUUCACACUGUGACGGUAUCUUACCAGAAAGGGACGGCUAACUACGUG
rnacentral:rRNA from 1 species